GCGAGUCGAAUGUAGCAAUACAUGGCGAACUGCUCAGUAACACGUGGACAACCUGCCCUUAGGACGGGGAUAAACCCGGGAAACUGGGUAUAAUACCCGAUAGGUCUCGAUUGCUGGAAUGCAUCGAGAUUUAAAGCUCCGGCGCCUAAGGAUGGGUCUGCGGCCUAUCAGGUAGUAGUGGGUGUAGCGUACCUACUAGCCUACGACGGGUACGGGUUGUGAGAGCAAGAGCCCGGAGAUGGAUUCUGAGACACGAAUCCAGGCCCUACGGGGUGCAGCAGGCGCGAAAACUUUACAAUGCUGGCAACAGCGAUAAGGGAACCUCGAGUGCCAGGUUACAAAUCUGGCUGUCGAGAUGCCUAAAAAGCAUUUCAUAGCAAGGGCCGGGCAAGACCGGUGCCAGCCGCCGCGGUGACACCGGCGGCUCGAGUGGUAACCGUUAUUAUUGGGUCUAAAGGGUCUGUAGCCGGCCGGAUAAGUCUCUUGAGAAAUCUGGCAGCUUAACUGUCAGGCUUUCAGGAGAUACUGUCUGGCUCGAGGCCGGGAGAGGUGAGAGGUACUUCAGGGGUAGGGGUGAAAUCUUGUAAUCCUUGAAGGACCACCAGUGGCGAAGGCGUCUCACCAGAACGGACCUGACGGCAAGGGACGAAAGCUAGGGGCACGAACCGGAUUAGAUACCCGGGUAGUCCUAGCCGUAAACGAUACUCGCUAGGUGUCGGCCACGGUGCGACCGUUGUCGGUGCCGUAGGGAAGCCGUGAAGCGAGCCACCUGGGAAGUACGGCCGCAAGGCUGAAACUUAAAGGAAUUGGCGGGGGAGCACCACAACGGGUGGAGC
rnacentral:rRNA from 1 species